UACGUAGGGUGCGAGCGUUAAUCGGAAUUACUGGGCGUAAAGCGUGCGCAGGCGGUUCGUUAAGUCAGAUGUGAAAGCCCCGGGCUCAACCUGGGAACUGCAUUUGAAACUGGCGGGCUUGAGUGUGGCAGAGGGGGGUGGAAUUCCGCGUGUAGCAGUGAAAUGCGUAGAGAUGCGGAGGAACACCGAUGGCGAAGGCAGCCCCCUGGGCCAACACGUGACGCUCGAGGCACGAAAGCGUGGGAGCAAACAGG
rnacentral:rRNA from 1 species